GAGGCCGAAAGGCGUAGUCGAUGGGAAACGGGUUAAUAUUCCCGUACUUCUUACAAUUGCGAUGGGGGGACGGAGAAGGCUAGGUGGGCCUGGCGACGGUUGUCCAGGUUCAAGUGCGUAGGCUUAAGAGUUAGGUAAAUCCGGCUCUUUUUAAGGCUGAGACACGACGUCGAGCACCUACGGGUGUGAAGUCAUUGAUGCCAUGC
rnacentral:rRNA from 1 species